rnacentral:rRNA from 1 species
GACGAACGCUGGCGGCGUGCUUAACACAUGCAAGUCGAGCGAAGAGCGAUGGAAGCUUGCUUCUAUCAAUCUUAGUGGCGAACGGGUGAGUAACGCGUAAUCAACCUGCCCUUCAGAGGGGGACAACAGUUGGAAACGACUGCUAAUACCGCAUACGAUCUAAACUCGGCAUCGAGGAUAGAUGAAAGGUGGCCUCUACAUGUAAGCUAUCACUGAAGGAGGGGAUUGCGUCUGAUUAGCUAGUUGGAGGGGUAACGGCCCACCAAGGCGAUGAUCAGUAGCCGGUCUGAGAGGAUGAACGGCCAAAUUGGGACUGAGACACGGCCCAGACUCCUACGGGAGGCAGCAGUGGGGAAUCUUCCGAAAUGGACGAAAGUCUGACGGAGCAACGCCGCGUGAGUGAUGACGGCCUUCGGGUUGUAAAGCUCUGUUAAUCGGGACGAAAGGCCUUCUUGCGAAUAGUGAGAAGGAUUGACGGUACCGGAAUAGAAAGCCACGGCUAACUACGUG